AGACCCUCAUGGACAAAAGAGGUGACGUCCCGCCCUUCCGGUGGACCGCGAUGGGACCUCACUUCAGAAAAAAUAUGAACGGUAGUCAACGGCGAGAGAGAAAUAUUUGUUUUGAUCCCGUUUGAAUUGC